AUGUAUCCAGUUUGUAUGGGUGUUUUUGAUUCUGAAACUAAUGAGAACUGGAUCUGGUUCAUGCAAUUGGUUAGGCAAGCCAUAGGAUCCCCAAGGGGUUUAACCAUAUGCACAGACGCUGGGCAGCCAGUGAUGAUAGGUGUAAAAGAAGUGUUCCCAGAGGCUGAACAUAGGGAAUGUAUGUUUCACUUGGUGUCCAACUUCAAUAAGAAGUUUCAUGGAAAGGUUUUUGAUGACCACCUUUGGGCUGCUGCUUACUCAUGGAACCCAUAUUUAUUUGAGAAAAAUUGGGUUGCAAUGGACAUAGCAAAGCCAGCGGCAGCUGCACUUAGGAAGUGGCACACUAGGUUGUGGUCUAGGUGUCAGUUCUCAACAAUUUCCAAGGUGGAUUAUGUUACAAACAACUUGGCUGAGUGCUUCAAUAAUUGGAUUAAGCAUCACAAGUCCUUGAACUUGGACGACUUCUUUGAUAAGCUUAGGCAAUUGAUUAUGAUCAUGUGGAACCGAAGGAGAAAGGUAGCAAGAAAGUUAGUUGGGUUGAUUCUUCCCCACAUAAUUAAGAAGUUGAAUGCAAAGACCAGAGAAUUAAACUUGGAGGUGGUUGAAAGCUCAGAAGAAGUUGCUGAAGUAACCGCAUUGGGAGGCAGCGGCUUUAGGUUUGUGGUCAACUUGCUUGACAGGACAUGUUCUUGUAGACAAUGGGAAGUUUCUGGCCUUCCUUGCAAACAUGGUCUAGCAUUUAUCACAUCUCUUACCAAUGCACGCAUAGAGAACUAUGUGGACUCGUGUUACUCCAUUCACAAAUUUAGAGCAGCUUAUGACCAAUUAAUCCCUGCCAUGGUUGACAAGAACCAGUGGCCUAAAUCAGACCAUGGAUUCUUCAUGUUUCCACCACUACUAAAAGCCACAGCGGGUAGGCCUAAAACUGAGAGGUAUAAAGGCUGCAGUGAGAAGAAAAGAAAAAGCGGCCAACACUUAUGCCCUAUUUGCAAGGACUAUGGGCAUCAUUGGCACAAACGCAAGAAGGGUAACCCAGAUGACAUUGCUGCUAUUUUAGCUGUGAGAGGACCACCAAAGAAGAGGACAAAGACCACCAAAUCAGCUCAAUCAUCAAUUGUGCCUUGCGAGGAUGAUUCUCCAUCAGCCAUGCGUUUUCCGCCAAGCCAAAUCUUGGAGAAAACAACCAAGCAAAAAGGGAAAGGUGGUAAAUCUGGAUCCGGAGGAGCAAAAAGAUCAAGAACACAACCCAUUUGUGGCGAACAUGAUGUCGCCAAAAAGAAAACACAUGUUGCUGUGAAGGUACAUGCCAAAAGAAAAAGCAAAGAGGUUGCUGGAAUUACUCCGCACCUUCCGAUGGUGCCACUUGACAGCCCUGCAAUGGGUACACGCAGCAAGAAAUUCAACCCAGCUAGCCCUGCAAUGAGCACACGAAGCAAAAGGAGACUUAGUUUGUGA
rnacentral:rRNA from 1 species